AACUUUUGACAACGGAUCUCUUGGCUCUCGCAUCGAUGAAGAACGCAGCGAAAUGCGAUCAGUAAUGUGAAUUGCAGAAUUCAGUGAAUCAUCGAAUCUUUGAACGCACCUUGCACCCUUUGGAAUUCCGAAGGGUAUGCUCGUUUGAGUGUCAUUGUACUCUCACACUCUCUGAUCCUUUGGAUUCGGGGAGCGGUGGACUUGGGUGUUUGCUGCUUUUCGUUGUGGCUCACCUCAAAUGCGUUAGUGCACCUCUUGGUUGGACAUAGUACGGCGUGAUAAGUAUCUUCGCCGGCACCUCGCGAGAGGGUGGCCGAUCGAGAGCUCUGUGCUUUCCAACCGUCUUCGGACACCAUCUGACAACUUGACCUCAAAUCGAGUAGGACUACCCGCUGAACUUAAGCAUAUCAAUAAGCGGAGGCU
rnacentral:misc_RNA from 1 species